rnacentral:lncRNA from 1 species
CCUAUUCGGCCAUCUUGGCUCCUCCCCCCCCAAAAACUUUAAUGAAUGGAGAUGUCAUAUAUUACAUGAUACGUGGAAGUGGGAUAAAGAUCACUUUCAGAAAGGAGUACAUCAAAAAAAUUCCCAUCCAAGGUGUCAAUGUCACUAAAGGAAUAUUCUCUGCUAUUUAAGUGAGAAUUCUUCCACUUCUUUCCAUUUCAUCAGGCAGAGAUUAUUAUACAUUUUGAAGCACAUGUUGGAGCUUGGAAGAAGAAUGAAGGAUAAAUAAGGGUCUUGUGCUAUGGACAAAGCAAAUCAUGGAAGAGAAUCUUACCUUGGGCAGAAUGGUUGUGUUUGUGGAAAGUUUGAAGAGAUUAAACUGAUGAAGCUUCUAUUUAUAGAACUAUUCUGAUUGUUUCUGUUUUCCCCAGGCUACUGGAGGUAAAUACAUAUGCUAUUCAUUGACGAAUAUGUUUUAUUUUUCUGUCAAAAUAUAUGUGAUAGAGUAUCUGCAAAUUUUGCAUAUAUUAAAGCUACAAAGAGAACAAAGGGACAACUUAAAAAGAUGAUAGUGUGUAAGUUGGCAUGGGCUGAGGAAGUUUAUGUGCUAAAAUGAUUAUUUGGCAGCAUAAUUUUGUGAAAGGGGGCAUGACGUAUAUAGGACUUGCAAGACGAAGCUCAAAACUGAAAGGAGCAUAUUCUUGAAAUGGAUCACAGGGAAGGAUUCAAACAAGAGAAUCUCAAUAGAACUAUUACAGCCAAAAGAGGCAAAGAAAAUGAAGAGGCUAGCUGAGCUAAUGCUAACUGAAGGAAUUAAAAUGAAUAAGCAUGCUCAUUUAUAAUUUUAUCAUGGAAAAAUAAAUACAAGUGGGAGAAUGGCCCGUCAAUAAAUGAGGAGGGAGGAGAAAUCAAUGUUAGUUGUAAAAUGUCUGAGCUAUUGAACUGCUGUUUUCAAGUCAGUCUUUAUAAAGAAAUAGGGGUCUGGAUAAUUAGGAAGUAAUUAAGGACCAACCGACUUUCAGGCACUAUUGAUGAUAAAUAAGUAAAUAAUUACCACUUGCAUUAACAAAAUGUGUGCAUAUGUGGAAGAAAUGCAUUCUAUAGAAAUUUCCACGUUUUGAUGGUAAUUAUUGUACUACUUGUUUAAUUAGCCAAUGAGUGGGGGAAAAAUAACCCACCUCCAAACAUGCACAAUUAAAUAGAUGCAAUGAUUUGGCCAGAGGAAAAAGACCAAGGUAUGAGCUUUUCAGGCUGAAAUUAAAAUAAUCUGCUAUCAGCUUAUCUAAACAAAUUAACUAACAAAACACACACAGCAAACAAUGCUAUAGUAAAAUAAUUUAGUCUGGAAUUGCCAGGUGUGGGAUUAGGAACUGUACAAUGCAAAGUAUCUUUCUUAGUUGUCCAGUGAGCCUGGACCACCCAAAAGACUGAUUUUACAAUUUUUAAAAGUGCCACGUAACUGGGAGAUUUACAUCUCUCAGAACUAAAGUUUUAUGGAAAAUUGUAAACUUUCCAGUUUGUGCUACAUAAUGUGGACCUAGGUAUGAGCUGGGUAUAUAGUCUGAAUUGGAUAAACAUGUGUCCUACACUUUUUAAACAUGGAUGAAUUGAUGCAAGAAUGGAGUUCUUUUUUUUGUAAUUCAGAGGUAGUACAGAGUGGUAAAGAACAAAAGAUUUUUAGUCAGACAGACCUAGUUUAGAAUCUUGCCUCAAACUCAUGCAAUGAGCACAUGGGCAAAUGCUUUAACCUUUUUGAGGGAUGGUAAUUAUAUUUACUACAUAUAGUUGUAUGAAGAUAAAGUGAAAUCGUAGAUAUACAGUUCUUGGCACAAAGUAGAUAAUAAAUAAAACUUAUUAUCAUAAUAAUAUGGUAGAGUUAAGUAUAACAUGUGAUAUAAAUGCUUGCUCAAAAGCUAGAGAAUCCAGAAUCUAUUUUUGUUUUAAUUUUGAAUGACAUAGAACUUGUGAGAUUGGUACUUGAUAAAUGGUAGCUAUUAAUGGUAUUUAUUAUUUAGCCCUGUUACCUUAGAAAAAUUAUAGUCUCAUUUGACCUCAUUUUCCACCUACAUUAGGAUUAACCUAUUUUUUUGGCAGCAUUUUUGUAUUCUGAGCAUUAUUGGAGCACGUGGUUCCUGAAGGAAUUUGAGUUUACUUGGAGAGGUAAAACUAAUAUAUAGGAAACAACUGGAGAUAAAAGUGGGUCUAAUUUACCACAAGUACUCCAGGAGUUCAGAGAGCAGAGAGGGUAGGGCAUUGUAGUAACAGAAGGUAUGGCAAGGACAAAGUGGAGUUUACUCUGUGCCUUGAGGAUUAUUUAAGAUUUGUACGGAUGAGGAGAUGAUGAUGAAGAGGCUGGAAUGGUUUUUGGGUGGGAAACCAGCCUAAGCUGGUGUGGAAGUAGAAAUGAAUGCAUCUAGUGAUUACAUCUCUGAAACAUGGGGCAUGUGAUCUGGUAUAAGAUAUGAGGAUUGCAUCAGAAUAUUUGAAAUUGGGCUAUUGGUCCACAUAUGAAGAGAGGUUAAUAGAUGUUGACUAGAAGGGAGUGUUAAAGUUGGAUAAAUAACUGGAGAACAAAGCAGAAAGCUGCUAUUACUUGCAAUAACUGCCUUUCUAUGGGUGUUGUGGCUUUAGAUGAAAUGAGAUAUUUGAAUCCCUAAAGCAGUUUUCUUUUUGUGGGAGCUCUACGACCAUCCAUAGAAAUUUCACUUUUCUUGUCUGAGUCCUCCACUAGUCUAUGAGUCUCUUAAGGUAGGAACCAGGUUUUGUUUAUUUCCAUAUAUGAGCACUUAACACAGUACCUGUCACAUAAUAACAAAUGUGAAAUAUUUGUG